rnacentral:rRNA from 1 species
GAUGAACGCUGGCGGCGUGCCUAAUACAUGCAAGUCGAGCGAACGGACGAGAAGCUUGCUUUUCUGAUGUUAGCGGCGGACGGGUGAGUAACACGUGGAUAACCUACCUAUAAGACUGGGAUAACUUCGGGAAACCGGAGCUAAUACCGGAUAAUAUUUUGAACCGCAUGGUUCAAAAGUGAAAGACGGUCUUGCUGUCACUUAUAGAUGGAUCCGCGCUGCAUUAGCUAGUUGGUAAGGUAACGGCUUACCAAGGCAACGAUGCAUAGCCGACCUGAGAGGAUGAUCAGCCACACUGGAACUGAGACACGGUCCAGACUCCUACGGGAGGCAGCAGUAGGGAAUCUUCGGCAAUGGGCGAAAGCCUGACGGAGCAACGCCGCGUGAGUGAUGAAGGUCUUCGGAUCGUAAAACUCUGUUAUUAGGGAAGAACAUAUGUGUAAGUAACUGUGCACAUCUUGACGGUACCUAAUCAGAAAGCCACGGCUAACUACGUG